CAUUUCUUUUCUUCUACUGGCUAUGGGGUUGGUUUUUUCUUUCCCCCUUAGUUCUUUUAGGUCCAAAUUGAGAUUGUUAAUUGAGAUUUUCUAACUUCUUGAUGACGGCAUUUAGUGGUAUCAACUUUCCCCUUAACACUGGCUUUACCUGCAUCUCAGAGAUUUUGGGGUAUGAUAGGCAAAGGGCUAUUCUUUUAUCCAUGGGGAGAGAAUCUUCAGUCUCAUGGUGACUCCCAGGUGCAAGAGCAAUCUACAAAACCUACUGCCAGGCAUGGGAACCUGGAAGCUGGAAAAGGGAAGCGAGAGUUCAUUUUGUAAGUACUCUGUCAUAUAUACAAUUUGAAAAAUAUUCCCUCCCAGAUGUAAGUACUCUGUCAUAUAUACAAUUUGAAAAAUAUU